AUUGAACGCUGGCGGCAGGCCUAACACAUGCAAGUCGAGCGGAUGAGAAGAGCUUGCUCUUCGAUUCAGCGGCGGACGGGUGAGUAAUGCCUAGGAAUCUGCCUGGUAGUGGGGGACAACGUUUCGAAAGGAACGCUAAUACCGCAUACGUCCUACGGGAGAAAGCAGGGGACCUUCGGGCCUUGCGCUAUCAGAUGAGACUAGGUCGGAUUAGCUAGUUGGUGAGGUAAUGGCUCACCAAGGCGACGAUCCGUAACUGGUCUGAGAGGAUGAUCAGUCACACUGGAACUGAGACACGGUCCAGACUCCUACGGGAGGCAGCAGUGGGGAAUAUUGGACAAUGGGCGAAAGCCUGAUCCAGCCAUGCCGCGUGUGCGAAGAAGGUCUUCGGAUCGCAAAGCACUUUAAGUUGGGAGGAAGGGCAGUAAGUUAAUACCUUGCUGUUUUGACGUUACCGACAGAAUAAGCACCGGCUAACUCUGUGCCAGCCGCCGCGGUAAUAC
rnacentral:rRNA from 1 species